rnacentral:rRNA from 1 species
UACGAGGGGUGCAAGCGUUGCUCGGAAUUAUUGGGCGUAAAGGGUAGGUAGGUGGUCUCAUUUGUCUGGGGUGAAAGCCUUGAGCUUAACUCAAGAAGUGCCCCGGAAACGGUGAGACUGGAGUCUUGGAGAGGGUCGUGGAAUUCCCGGUGUAGCGGUGAAAUGCGUAGAGAUCGGGAGGAACACCAGAGGCGAAGGCGGCGACCUGGACAAGUACUGACACUCAACUACGAAAGCGUGGGGAGCAAACAGG